ACCAUUGAACGAUUUUGAGGCAGUAUCGUAUCUUCUUGCUGGACUUGGAUCCGAGUACGUUCCUUUUAUCACCUCCAUUACCACAAGGGUUGAUCCUCUCACCAUUGAUGAUAUCUAUGGCCAUUUGUUGGCUCAUAAAUU